rnacentral:rRNA from 1 species
AUUGAACGCUGGCGGCAGGCCUAAUACAUGCAAGUCGAGCGAAUGAAGGGGGCUUGCUCCUGGCUUCAGCUACGGACGGAUGAGUGAUUACUAGGAGGCUACCUGAUCGUGGGGACUGACGUACGGUAACGGGAGCUGAUCCCGCAUCGGUUAUGAUGUAGAACGUGAGGGAUCUUCGGACAUCACGCUAUCAGAUGAGCCUAGGUCGUAUUAGCUAGUUGGUGGGGUAAAGGCUUACCAAGGCGACGAUCCGUAACUGGUCUGAGAGGAUGAUCAGUCACACUGGAACUGAGACACGGUCCAGACUCCUACGGGAGGCAGCAGUGGGGAAUAUUCGACAAUGGGCGAAGGCUUGAUGCAGCAAUGCCGCGUGAGUGAAGAAGGUCUUCGGAUUGUAAAGCACUGUAAGUAGGGAGGAAGAAAAGUAAGUGAAUCUCUUCCUGUCUUGACGUUACCAACAGAAUAAGCCCCGGCUAACUUCGUG